GAUUUUUUCAGUUUCAAAACUUUAGACAUGAGAAUUGAAUAGUCAAUACCUAAUACCUUAAUUGUGAAUUUUUCCCUUAUUGUAAUUUUUGGUGAUGUAGCUAUAAAUUGAACAGAUAGGUGAAAAAAUGAUUUAUGUAUCAGACCCCAUAAUUAUUGAGAAUGUUACUAGCGUAUUGUUGUUUGCAAUUUUCUUUUCCAAAUUUCGUCAUUCCAGGUUAUUCGCCAAGUUUCUUGUGGAGCAUUUCAUGUGGUUGCUCUAUCAGAAGAUGUCUUGUGGGUAGUGUUUUCUUGCACUCCAUAUGAAUCUGAAAUGAUUCUUCGCAAUAUACCUGUUUUGGUGAUUCCGACUGGUUGCCUGUGGACAGCGUCACACGCUCGUUUCUACUAAAGACGGAAGAGUUCAUGGACGGGGUUACAAUUGUUAUGAUCAGGCUGCUAAUGAGAAAUCAACAUAUGCUUGUAAUCCUUCCCCAUUUGACUGGUGUGAUAUGGAAGAGAAUGUUCGGCUAAAGCCUAAAAAAUGUAAAUGUAAUUGAAGAAAAGUAAGCGAAGACUUUAAAAAUGGGUUUGGAAAAAAGUUACUUUUAAGCUUGUGAAUAUGCGUCUAAGCUUAAAAGUUUCUUCGAAGUACUACUUUUUUCAGGAUUAGCCAAAGAUGCUUUACAUGAAUGAGGAAGUAUGCUAAUGAAAGCUUUUUAACAGAUGCAUGUUCUUUAAAAGAAUUGUCUGAGUUUAGGGUAGCAGAUAGUGUGACUCCGUCAAAUGCUUCAUUUAUUGAGGAUGUUGCGUAUAGAACUGGUCUUUGCAGUAGAUUAAGGUAAUAUCAUGUUUAUUCGGAGA
rnacentral:lncRNA from 1 species